UUUAACUGAGCGUUCAGUUACUGGACGUAGACCCGAAACCGGGCGACCUACCCAUGAGCAGGAUGAAGCGAAAGUAAAAGUUCGUGGAGGUCCGAACCCACGAGCGUUGAAAAGCUCGGGGAUGACUGGGGGGUGGCGGUGAAAUUCCAAUCGAGCCCGGAGAUAGCUGGUGCUCCCCGAAAUAGCUUUAGGGCUAGCCGCAAGGUGAGAGAUACGGAGGUAGAGCACUGAAUGUCCUAGGGGGUAUUGCACCUACCGAAGACUAUCAAACUCCGAAUGCCGUCAUCUUAUACUUGGGAGUCAGACUGUGGGUGAUAAGAUUCAUAGUCGAAAGGGCAACAGCCCAGAUCGUCAGCUAAGGUCCCUAAAUGUAAGUUAAGUGGUAAAGGAUGUGGGAUUGCACAGACAACCAGGAUGUUGGCUUAGAAGCAGCCACUCAUUCAAAGAGUGCGUAAUAGCUCACUGGUCGAGUGAUCCUGCGCCGAAGAUUUCCGGGGCUAAAACUUACUACCGA
rnacentral:rRNA from 1 species